rnacentral:rRNA from 1 species
GCACGGGUGAGUAACGCGUAUCCAACCUGCCCUUUACUCCGGGAUAGUCUCCUGAAAGGGAGUUUAAUACCGGAUGUGUUUGUUUUUCCGCAUGGGAGCGACAAAUAAAGAUUAAUUGGUAAAGGAUGGGGAUGCGUCCCAUUAGCUUGUUGGCGGGGUAACGGCCCACCAAGGCAACGAUGGGUAGGGGUUCUGAGAGGAAGGUCCCCCACAUUGGAACUGAGACACGGUCCAAACUCC